rnacentral:rRNA from 1 species
GGCGAUAGCGGGUGCCUAACACAUGCAAAGUCGAGCGAUCUCUUCGGAGAGAGCGGCGGACGGGGUGAGUAACGCGUGGGUAACCUGCCCUGUACACACGGAUAACAUACCGAAAGGUAUACUAAUACGGGGAUAAUAUAUGAAAGUCGCAUGGCUUUUGUAUCAAAGCUCCGGCGGUACAGGAUGGACCCGCGUCUGAUUAGCUAGUUGGUAAGGUAAUGGCUUACCAAAGGCAACGAUCAGUAGCCGACCUGAGAGGGUGAUCGGCCACACUGGAACUGAGACACGGUCCAGACUCCUACGGGAGGCAGCAGUGGGGAAUAUUGCACAAUGGGCGAAAGCCUGAUGCAGCAACGCCGCGUGAGCGAUGAAGGCCUUCGGGUCGUAAAGCUCUGUCCUCAAGGAAGAUAAUGACGGUACUUGAGGAGGAAGCCCCGGCUAACUACGUGCCAGCAGCCGCGGUAAUACGUAGGGGGCUAGCGUUAUCCGGAAUUACUGGGCGUAAAGGGUGCGUAAGUGGUUUUUUAAGUCAGAAGUGAAAGGCUACGGCUCAACCGUAGUAAGCUUUUGAAACUAGAGAACUUGAGUGCAGGAGAGAAGAGUAGAAUUCCUAGUGUAGCGGUGAAAUGCGUAGAUAUUAGGAGGAAUACCAGUAGCGAAGGCGGCUCUCUGGACUGUAACUGACACUGAGGCACGAAAGCGUGGGGAGCAAACAGGAUUAGAUACCCUGGUAGUCCACGCCGUAAACGAUGAGUACUAGGUGUCGGGGGUUACCCCCCUCGGUGCUCG